rnacentral:rRNA from 1 species
UAAAACAGGCUACCCUAAACAAGCCCGAUCUUGUCUGAUCUCGGAAGCUAAGCAGGGUCGGGCCUGAUUAGUACUUGGGUGGGAGACCACCUAGGAAGACCACGUGCUGUAGGAA